CCUACGGGUGGCUGCAGUGGGGAAUUUUGGACAAUGGGCGAAAGCCUGAUCCAGCAAUGCCGCGUGAGUGAAGAAGGCCUUCGGGUUGUAAAGCUCUUUUGUUUGGGAAGAAAUCCCUAAGGAUAAUACCCUUGGGGGAUGACGGUACCAAAAGAAUAAGCACCGGCUAACUACGUGCCCGCAGCCGCGGUAAUACGUAGGGUGAAAGCGUUAAUCGGAGCUACUGCAGGCGAAGUUGUAAGAGACGGUUGAAAUCCCCGAGCUCAACUUGGGAACUGCACUUGUGACUGCAAGACUAGAGUGUGUCAGAGGGAGGUAGAAUUCCACGUGUAGCAGUGAAAUGCGUAGAUAUGUGGAGGAAUACCAGUGGCGAAGGCGGCCUCCUGGGAUAACACUGACGCUCAUGUACGAAAGCGUGGGGAGCAAACAGGAUUAGAUACCCUGGUAGUC
rnacentral:rRNA from 1 species